AUCUGAUGCUGAGGGCAUUUGGUGCAUAGUUUCUUAAACCUCUUCCAGUACUCAUAGAGUGACUCGCCUGGGUGUUGUUUGAUACCACAUAUUUCUUUCCUUAGACU